UAUGCCAAGUAAACAACGCUGGUCAGGAACGACCUAUGUAGGUAUGAUUCUGUUCAUAUGAAAUGUACAGAACAGACAAAUCCCCAGAGACAGAAAGUAGGCCACCAGCUCGGCCUUUCAUGGCUUUUCCUGCCAGCACGGAGCCCAAGGGUCAAGGAGGGAGAUGACUGGAAUGGGGCACGACUGACCUUCAAUCUAACCGAGCAGCUUCAAUGGAAAACAUCCGAUUCUUCCUCUUACGUCAUCCGGGUGGUUUGGCCCCGGAACGCAGUGGCAAAGAUAAAUAAGAAUUCAAGAUCACCGACAAGGCUCGAGUCGGUCCUCACUUAGCCAGGAAAGGUGAGCACUGGAGCAAGGAGGGAUGACUCCGUGCAUCUGGGAACCUUCUCUUCUGAAAGUGCCUUUGCGAUCUGGCCAGAAACAGUUACGGCCGCCGCCGACCACAGUGAGUUUUGUAGGCACGGAAGUUCCGAUGAGCAAAGGGAAGAAGAAGAAAAGAGGGACAGAGGGGUGGGAAUAGAGUCGCUGCCUGGCACUCGGCCUGGGAAGACUCAUCAUUCCCUCCUCCGGGCCCUGCCUUCUGAGUUAUUUCAGCUGAAGUCUGCAGAGUCAAGCUAAAGAUAAAGGGAGGAAGAGCCAGUUGAGGUCAACCAUCCCCCAGCACUUCUACCAAAUAAUCUUCACGUUUCUCUCCAGAUCCACCGUCCACCCUCUUUCCCUGCUUCCUAUCCCGGGAGACAGACCGACAGAGACAGCAUCAGGGAUUCCCCCGCCCUAUGGCUUUGGGAUGGAGUCCACCAACAGACACGAUGGAUGGAAAGAGAGAGGGGUUGGGGGUUUGGCAGGCCAACAGCUUUCUCUUCUGUGGCGAUCCCUAGAGAGAUGUGCUUUUGAAUUAGAAGGUGAGAUGCCGUGAAGACAUAAAUUUCUCCCCUUUAAUGUAGAGGGAACAGAAACUCCAAAAUUACCCCAGCAGAACACAGAGGUAAGAAAACUUAGAUUUUUUUUUCUGUUUUAAGAAGAAAAGUGGGAGGGGUGGCCCUAUCCAAUAUUAAGUUAGCAAAUAAAAGCAGUAAGAAUUCAAGUGGCAGGGUCACCAGGAGGAAAUUCUACAUAUCCACUGGGAAGCGAGCCUGUAAAUAUUGGAUAGUCAUCCCAUCUUCCAAACAUUAAGCCAUAAAAAUAACCCCGACUUUUGAAAUUUGAGAAAUUCCCUUCUAGUGCACUUGGGUCAACACCUAACUUGUGGAUGACAGAGAAGCCCUGCCCAUCUCGCACGGAGCCCGGGGAUCCGGAGUUGCAGAGACCCGACGACCGCCCGGAAAAACUCAAUCGCUCGGCCCACGUCCAUCUUCGGUUAGGCCCAAGCCACAAAGGCUCCAUGGUGGCAGCAAAAAUAAAGAGCCACGGCUGUAAAUCGAGUCCGAGCCGCCUUCCUACCUCUCCCCGUACGACGGAGGACAUAAUUUUCUCCAGGGUUACAGCUUAAACUCACGAGUUUACAGGCUUCACGUCCAGAAUGGAGCCCAACGUGGCGCUUGAAC